CCUACGGGAGGCAGCAGUGGGGAAUAUUGGACAAUGGGGGAAACCCUGAUGCAGCGAAGCCGCGUGAGUGAAGAAGUCAUUCUUUAUGUAAAACUUUUUUUGCCGGGAAGCAAAUGACGGUACCUGUGUAAGAAGCGACAGCUACCUACGUACCAGCAGCCGCGGUACUACGUCGGGGACACGCGUUAUCCGGAUUUACGGGGUGUAAAGGGAGAGUAGACGGUGCGCCAAGUCUGGAGUGAAAUGUCGCAGCUUAACUGCGGAACUGCUGUGGAAACUGGCGAUCUAGAGUGCGGGAGGGGUAAGCGGAAUGCCUGGUGUAGCGGUGAAAUGCAUAGAUAUUAGGAAGAACUCCGAUGGCGAAGGCGGCAUACUGGACCGUAACUGACGUUGAGGCUCGAAAGCGUGGGUAGCAAACAGGAUUAGAUACCCUAGUAGUC
rnacentral:rRNA from 1 species